rnacentral:rRNA from 1 species
GUGUCAGCAGCCGCGGUAAUACGUAGGACACGAGCGUUAUCCGGAUUCACUGGGCGUAAAGAGAGCGUAGGCGGUCCUUCAAGUCGAGUGUGAAAUCUCCUGGCUCAACUGGGAGAAGCCAUUCGAUACUGUUGGACUAGAGGACAGCAGAGGGAGACGGAAUUCCCGGUGUAGUGGUGAAAUGCGUAGAUAUCGGGAGGAACACCCGUGGCGAAGGCGGUCUCCUGGGCUGCACCUGACGCUGAGGCCCGAAAGCGCGGGGAGCAAACAGGAUCAGAUACCCUGGUAGUCCGCGCCCUAAACAAUGGACACUAGGUAUUGGGAGUAUCGACCCUCUCAGUGCCGUAGUUAACACAUUAAGUGUCCCGCCUGGGGAGUACGGCCGCAAGGCUAAAACUUAAAUGAAUUGGCGGGG